GGUGGUUGUAGUUCAGUUGGUUAGAAUGCCUGAUUGUGGUUCAGGAGGUCGCCGGUUCGAGUCCGGUCUUCCACCC
rnacentral:tRNA from 1 species